CUUUGGGGUCCACCUGAGAGGCUGGCAAGGGAAAUGACAUGUUAGAGCUAGUGGGCUGGGUGGCUAGCAGGAGGUAGAGAGGAGCUGCUGGGACUUCCUGAAGCUGUUUUGAACUGUUUAACCUCCUGUGUGAAGAGCUUCCCUGCAGUGUGGAACGUUCCAAUCUCAAUCGCAGAGGAAACAGUUAAGACAACAGCACUGUUGACACAAGCUGAAGCUACUGCCCUUCAUUGCUUCCCCAAAGACUAGCAGAGGUACCUGAGACUUUGCUCUCCUUUGCCUUUGUCCUGUUGGUAUAAACGUCAACAAUGAGAAAAGCAAAUAAAAUCUAAAUAUGAGUGCAAAAA